CCCUUAGAUGUUCUGGGCCGCACGCGCGCUACACUGAUGACUUUAGCGAGUUUUUUUCUCCUCAAGGGGAAAAUGUCCUUGGCCGGAAGGUCUGGGUAAUCUUUUCAAUGGUCAUCGUGAUGGGGCUAGAUUUUUGCAAUUAUUAAUCUCCAACGAGGAAUUCCUAGUAAACGCAAGUCAUCAGCUUGCAUUGAUUACGUCCCUGCCCUUUGUACACACCGCCCGUCGCACCUACCGAUUGAAUGGUCCGGUGAAAUCUUCGGAUUCGCACGCUUGACCUUUAUUGGGAGAUCAUGCGAAAAAGUUGAGUAAACCUUACCAUUUAGAGGAAGGUGAAGUCGUAACA
rnacentral:rRNA from 1 species